GCUUGGCUGGCUCAGUCGGUAGAGCAUGUGACUCUUGAUCUCAGGGUUGUAAGUUCGAGCUCCACGUUGAGUG
rnacentral:tRNA from 1 species